UACGGAAGGCAGCAGUGGGGAAUAUUGCACAAUGGGCGAAAGCCUGAUGCAGCUAUGCCGCGUGUAUGAAGAAGGCCUUAGGGUUGUAAAGUACUUUCAUCGGGGAGGAAAAAACAAAACUAAUAAUUUUAUUUCUUGACGUUACCCGAAAAAGAAGCACCGGCUAACUCCGUGCCAGCAGCCGCGGUAAUACGGAGGGUGCUAGCGUUAAUCAGAAUUACUGGGCGUAAAGAGCACGUAGGUGGUUUUUUUAAGUCAGAUGUGAAAUCCCUGGGCUUAACCUAGGAACUGCAUUUUGAAACUGAAAUACUAGAGUAUCGUAGAGGGAGGUAGAAUUCUAGGUGUAGCGGUGAAAUGCGUAGAUAUCUGGAGGAAUACCUGUGGCGAAAGCGGCCUCCUAAACGAAUACUGACACUGAGGGUGCGAAAGCGUGGGGAGCAAACGAGGAUUAGAUACC
rnacentral:rRNA from 1 species